rnacentral:lncRNA from 1 species
UUUCACAAAUGAGUCAGACUCCAUUAAAAAGAAACUUACCAAUUUUCUGAUCUUCAAAAUAUCAAAUUCAGAUUUAGUAAUUUUAUUGAGAUAAAUAAUUCUUUAUAAAUUGUAAGCACUCUCUCCCCAAAUCCAGUACCAUUUUCUAUUUUGCCAUUCACUUAUGCUUAGGAUUAAAUGAGUAUUUAAUCAAAAAGAGUAAGUGCUAUUGUUUGAUUUGUGAGUAGCCAAAAUAUAAUUCAUGUAUUUUUUAUUAUGUAAGUUUUAUGUG